rnacentral:rRNA from 1 species
GACGAACGCUGGCGGCGUGCCUAAUACAUGCAAGUAGAACGCACAGUUUAUAUCGUAGCUUGCUACACCAUAGACUGUGAGUUGCGAACGGGUGAGUAACGCGUAGGUAACCUGCCUGGUAGCGGGGGAUAACUAUUGGAAACGAUAGCUAAUACCGCAUAAUAUUAAUUAUUGCAUGAUAAUUAAUUGAAAGGUGCAAUUGCACCACUACCAGAUGGACCUGCGUUGUAUUAGCUAGUAGGUGAGGUAACGGCUCACCUAGGCGACGAUACAUAGCCGACCUGAGAGGGUGAUCGGCCACACUGGGACUGAGACACGGCCCAGACUCCUACGGGAGGCAGCAGUAGGGAAUCUUCGGCAAUGGACGAAAGUCUGACCGAGCAACGCCGCGUGAGUGAAGAAGGUUUUCGGAUCGUAAAGCUCUGUUGUAAGAGAAGAACGGGUGUGAGAGUGGAAAGUUCACACUGUGACGGUAUCUUACCAGAAAGGGACGGCUAACUACGUG